rnacentral:piRNA from 1 species
UGAAUUCAUGCAAAUGCUAAAAUGGUAGGC